AAAAAGAAGAAGAAGAAGAAGAAGAAGAAGAAGAAGAAGAAGAACAACAACAACAACAACAACAACAACAACAACAACAGCAACAGAAAACACUUAAAAACUAAUAAACAGUAAAGUGCAUUCACGGGUACAUAUAGUGUAAUGCAUCCGUUAUCCAUCUCCAAAAAAUUUAUUUCAUCUAUACUUCCACUUAUUCUAUCUCCUACCCUAUUAAGCUAAUUUCAACUUAAUUUGCAAAUAUUUCAGUACACAUCUAAAAGGGCUCAUAUUAAAAACGUAAUCACAGCAUCGUUAUAUUCCAAGACGUUUAAUGAUUCCUUUGUAUGAUCACCUAUCAAGUAAAUGUUUGUAUUUCUAUAUACAUUUUAAUGUUUGAUUUGAUUAUAUGUUUUUAUAUUUGUAGUAGGCCAUUUUAGGCUUUCCAAGAGCUGAUCGUGAUAGAGAGUCCGGUUCAAAACCAAGAUAAAUGAGUUUUGAGCUAGUCAGACUCUAGCAGAAACUUCCUGGACUUGGAAAAUCUUUUAUUUUCCUGGCACUUGUAAGCUGUUUUCUCAAAAGCAAGAAGAGCAAAGCAGUGAAUAGCUGUUCCUUUGGAGCUGACAGCUUUCAAGAUUUCAUGUUAUUUGUUUGUCUUCUCUGUUCUGUAUUUGGCUCCUUACAUGCUUCCCCAGGAAAAUUUAGUAGUUCUAAUUUUGAGAUAGGUAAGAAGAGCACAUCAUCUGCCUGGAGCUGUUAAUUGUAACCCGAAAAUGAAAAGGCAAAAGAAUGAAAAAGAAAGAAAAAGAACAGAGAUCUUGGAGGACAUGGCAUGCCAAAUCUAAUGAUCUGUUCAAGACCAGCCUGCCUGUCAAUAUACUCAAUGGAUGUAACCAGUUAUGUAACAUUUUGUCACUUGCUUUGUAACUCCCACUGCUAAAUUCCUUAUAAACUAAGCUCUUUUGUUAAUUCAAUGCUGUUGCCUUUGUGGAAUUAGCUCUCAACAGUCUGCAGGUGUAAAGAUUAAACUCUG
rnacentral:lncRNA from 1 species